GGGGGAAAAACAAGGCUUAUCCAUAAGCUGUCAACUAGAUUUAUUUGAUAAAUUGGUUAAACCUGUUUUACUUUACGGCUGUGAAAUUUUGGGAUUUGGAAAUAAUGAUAUAUUAGAAAGGGUUCAUUUGAAAUUUUGUAAACUUCUUCUCCAUCUUAAAUCUUCUACCCCGAAUUGUGUUAUAUAUGGAGAAUUAGGACGUUAUCCUAUUAGUUUAGAUAUCAAGGUUCGCAUGAUUUCAUACUGGGCGAAAUUGAUUUUUAGCAAACCCCGUAAAU
rnacentral:lncRNA from 1 species